rnacentral:rRNA from 1 species
UACGGAGGGUGCAAGCGUUAUCCGGAAUCACUGGGCUUAAAGGGUGCGUAGGCGGUGGCGUAAGUCAGUUGUGAAAUUCCCCGGCUUAACCGGUGGGACUGCGAUUGAUACUGCGUUACUUGAAUCAGGUUGAGGUAGGCGGAAUGUGACAUGUAGCGGUGAAAUGCUUAGAUAUGUCAUAGAACACCGAUUGCGAAGGCAGCUUGCUGGACCUGUAUUGACGCUGAGGCACGAAAGCGUGGGGAGCAAACAGG